rnacentral:tRNA from 1 species
GCGGGCAUGGUGGAAUUGGUAGACUCGAUGGAUUUAGGUUCCAUUGCCAAAAGCGUGCAGGUUCGAAUCCUGUUGCCCGCA